CAUUUUGAUCUUUGUUCUUUUUUCCUUUUUUUCUGUUUCUCUUUUUACCUUUUUUUUCUU
rnacentral:ribozyme from 13 species